UCUCAAAGCACGUUGGUCGCCGCCAUUCACCGCCGCUGCCUCGCUGACACGCCCCUGCGCGAUUCAUUUUGUCGACACGCCGGCAAAAGGAAUACGAAAUUCCUGAGAAUCAAAACUGCGGUUCACGGGACAUGGCUGAAAAAUCCGGUGAUGGACCACACACACAUACGAAAGUGAAAGUGACACUAUUUUACAAUCGUCAACUGUUCUUUACUCCUACACCAAAUUACGUGGGGGGCAAGAAGACAUGAUUUGAUCCCGUCAAGAAUACACUCAAAAAUGGUUCCACCACCACGACGGAGCGCCCGUGUCAUGAGUAGAGUCAUAGAAACAUCCUCAAUAACGGCUGGAAUAAGCACAACUGGACAAGAAGCUACCUACGAUGAUCAUUGUGGACUGAUUUCGAUCCUUGAAACCCAACCGGAUCUAGAAAAUAUCACCAAACCAACGAAGGGGGAACUCCAAUUGGCAAUACAAGAGUCUACUGCCAAUGUAAGUGCUUACGAGGUGGACAAAAAUGUGGUACGAAAAGAAAAAGGGCAUUCAAUGUUGUCACAAAGAUGAAGCGCAAGAAAUAUCGGGACACAAAGGCAAGGAUACAAGCCACGGGAUGCAGCUCCCGUCAGUCCAAGCAACACGAAGCAUGGACAUGAGUCAGCAGUCAAAUGAGCACGCCACUCUUUGAAGUCAAGACUCGGGAAACCGUGGAUAAAGGCAAAAAAUUGACCGAAAUGACUGAUAGCAUAAUAUCAAAACCACCAACAAUGUUCGAGCGCGCUGAAAUGUAUCGACCGCAACGUGUUUCAGAUCCUCCCAAUUACGAUAAUGUUCUUUUUUUGGGCUUCCGGCACAUGUCCGUCAAUAAAAAUUGACACAACUUGUUGAGGAGAAUAUGGAGUUCAACAAGCGGCAUCGAAUACAGACGGGGGCAACGACAACUCGAGCAUAAAAAAUGGGCAAAUGACUUGUGUUCUAGUUUCCGUAAAAUGGUGUAUAUGGAUUGAAAUGGGCAUGGUUAGAUGUGGUUGAAUCCUGUUCUCUUUGUGUUUUUUGAUCUGAUGUCGUUGCACCGAAAUUAGGUUGUCUUCAAGUUUGAUUAGCCUAUCUAUUUUGAACAUGUUUUGUAGUUGGUGUGCUAUUUUUUUGACAUUUUGUUUAUAGUAGGUAAUGCCAAUGAUAUUACAUAAAAACAUA